CAAUAGCGUAUAUUUAAGUUGUUGCAGUUAAAAAGCUCGUAGUUGGAUUUUGGGCGCGGCAGGCCGGUCCGCCGAUUCGGUGUGCACUGGCAGGCGGCGUCUUUCUGUCGAGGACGUGUCAUGGCUUUCAUCGGCUGUGGCACGGAGUCGGCGAUGUUACUUUGAAAAAUUAGAGUGUUCAAAGCGGGCCUACGCUUGAAUAUAUUAGCAUGGAAUAACACCAUAGGACUCCUGUCCUAUUCUGUUGGUCUUCGGGAUGGGAGUAAUGAUUAAGAGGAACAGUUGGGGGCAUUCGUAUUUCAUUGUCAGAGGUGAAAUUCUUGGAUUUAUGAAAGACGAACUUCUGCGAAAGCAUUUGCCAAGGAUGUUUUCAUUAAUCAAGAACGAAAGUUGGGGGCUCGAAGAUGAUUAGAUACCGU
rnacentral:rRNA from 1 species